rnacentral:rRNA from 1 species
UACGAAGGGGGCCAGCGUUGCUCGGAAUUACUGGGCGUAAAGCGCGCGCAGGCGGUCUUCCAAGUCAGUGGUGAAAGCCCGGAGCUCAACUCCGGAACUGCCAUUGAAACUGUUGGACUUGAGUACGAGAGAGGUGAGUGGAAUUCCCAGUGUAGAGGUGAAAUUCGUAGAUAUUGGGAAGAACACCGGUGGCGAAGGCGGCUCACUGGCUCGUAACUGACGCUCAGGCGCGACAGCGUGGGGAUCAAACAGG